GUCUUUGGUUAUCUAGCUGUAUGAUUGUAGAACAAAUUCAUAAAGCUAGGUUACCAAAGGC
rfam:Biomphalaria glabrata isolate BB02 unplaced genomic scaffold LGTN_random_Scaffold370, whole genome shotgun sequence.